GACGAACGCUGGCGGCGUGCUUACCACAUGCAAGUCGAACGAUGAACCCGGAGCUUGCUCCGGCGGAUUAGUGGCGAACGGGUGAGUAACCCGUGAGUAACCUGCCCUUGACUCUGGGAUAACUGCUAGAAAUGGUAGCUAAUACCGGAUACGACCCUCGGCGGCAUCACCAGGGGGUGGAAAGAAUUUCGGUCAAGGAUGGACUCGCGGCCUAUCAGCUAGUUGUUGAGGUAACGGCUCACCAAGGCGACGACGGGUAGCCGGCCUGGGAUGGAGAACGGCGACACUGGGACUGAGACGCGCACAGGACCCCAACAGGCGGGAGCGGAGGGGAAGAUAGGAGAAUGGGCGCAGGAAUGAGGCAGCAGGGCCGCGUAGGGGAAGGCGGCAUUCGAGUUGUAAACGUCUUUUAGUAGGGAUCAAGAGAAGAGGACGGUUCACGAAGAAAAAGCACCGGCUAAGUACGUGCCUGCCGCCGCCGUAA
rnacentral:rRNA from 1 species